UCAGACUGGGAGGGGAGGCCGGGGGAAGGGCACCCAUAGACUUUCCUGAAAGUACAGCUACGGGCAGAGCUUGAGAAAUCCCAGCAGGAUACUGACCCAGGAUGAGGCGCUCCUGGAUUCACCAGGCACCGGGCCAGGAUCACUGGAGAACCGGAGGCCUCCCAUGGGCCCAGACUUCACACCCCCCCUUGUCUCCAUGAACAUCAGGGUCCACGCCUCUGUCCCCUCCCUGUGAUCAGGAGCCAGAAGCUGGGUGAGUGGGACAGUCCCCCCAUCACUGCCGAGCUGCUCCCCUGCUAUCCCAGCCCCUGCUCCUCCUGGCCAGGCCCCGAACCCCGUUCCAGGCCCGUAUGCCAUUUGCCGUGCCUCAGCUUUGCUGCCAUUCUGACGAGGAAUAAGUGUAUCAAAUUCAAGUAAUUAUGUCUAAUUAGUAUUAGUAAUUAUCCUCUGGGGCUGGAGAAAAUUAAUCUUUCGUUUCCCAUCGGGGAAGAACAGCAGAGCCAGGGGAAUCGAAGGCUCCAGGAGCACCAAGCCCGGGGCGGUGGGGGCAGCAGUGCGCGCCCUCCCCGGGCCCGAGUCACCCGUGGGAAGAUGGUGGCAAUGGCCCCCGGGCCCCAGGGCCAGCCGUGGACAGCGACACUGCCCUCUCACCUCAGCCGACCUGAGACAGGGUGGGGCCUGAGGCCAGAAGGCCACGGCCGAGAGAGGUCUGCACUCAGAGCUGGGCAGCUGGCCGGGUGCCCGGGGUUAGUGACAGGCAGAGACGCGCCCUGAAGCUGAACAAGCCGGAGGGAGGGGCCAGCGGCCGACACCAGGCCCCGGACCAGCCCCGCAAGCACAGGGGUCAAGUUUCUGGAAUCCAAGGGACAGGAAGAUGCGCGCGGAAGCCACUAGAAGUAACAAAGAUAAUGAGAUGUUAACAUCGCCCGGUGAGCGGAGACAUGUGUGAGUGUGUGCGAGGUCGGCACGCGGCGGAGGGGACGCGGCUCCGGUGGCGCCUGGCCAUGUGUUCCGGGGACGUCGGCGAGCGUUUGCGGGUACUGGCAGUUACGUGGCAUGGGGAGGACAGUCUCGACUUCAGAUCUACCGCAGCCAGCACCCCUCCACCAGCGGGGCCUCCAGACUGGGGGCAGUGGUGGCGCACGCGCAGCAGGGCGGGGUGUCGGCUUCUCAGGGCCUCACCUCCAACAAGGAGCACACUCAGGGCCCUCACCUCCAACAAGGAGCACACUCAGGGCCCUCACCUCCAACAAGGAGCACACUCAGGGCCCUCACCUCCAACAAGGGGCACACUCAGGAGGCUCCACCUCUUCUGGACACGGGGCAGAGUCCGCUCGGCCUCCAGCUUCUCUCUAAACUCAGUCUUCUCUGAGCAAAGACCCCCCCCCCCCGCCUCUCACUGCAGACCUGAGGACGGUUACCAGGUUUGUCCCAGGCAGCUCUGUCCCCUCCCGCCUCCCUCCCUGCCCGCCCGGCAAACUUGACUGAGAUGUGGCCCUGGUGCCAGAGGGCCCCGGUGUCCCCAGCAUCACCUGCCUCGGCUCCAGACGCUGAUGCCACCUGUCAGCACGAGGCUAUCUGUCCCC